rnacentral:rRNA from 2 species
AACGGCAGCAUGCUCUAGCUUGCUAGGGUGAUGGCGAGUGGCGAACGGGUGAGUAACGCGUAGGAAUAUACCUUAAAGAGGGGGACAACCUGGGGAAACUCAGGCUAAUACCGCAUAAUUUCUUAGGAAAAAAGCUGGGGACCUUCGGGCCUGGCGCUUUAAGAUUAGCCUGCGUACGAUUAGCUAGUUGGUAGGGUAAAGGCCUACCAAGGCGACGAUCGUUAGCUGGUCUGAGAGGAUGAUCAGCCACACUGGGACUGAGACACGGCCCAGACUCC